rnacentral:rRNA from 1 species
UACGUAGGGUGCAAGCGUUAAUCGGAAUUACUGGGCGUAAAGCGUGCGCAGGCGGUUAUGUAAGACAGUUGUGAAAUCCCCGGGCUCAACCUGGGAACUGCAUCUGUGACUGCAUAGCUAGAGUACGGUAGAGGGGGGAUGGAAUUCCGCGUGUAGCAGUGAAAAUGCGUAGAUAUCUGGAGGAAUACCGGUGGCGAAAGGCGGCAUCCUGGACCGGCAUUGACGCUGAGGAGCGAAAGCUAGGGGAGCAAACGGGG